CCAAUCAAAAAAUAACAACUGACAAAAUAAUGAAAGACAUAACGACACGUAUAGUAUGAAUUAUGAAGUAAAUAUUAAUUAGUACGAUGGCAAACAAUCGUGAAAGAACUAUUAUUAAUUAUUAUUUAUUAUCCAAUUCAGUACCGUGAAAAUGACGUGGGCAGUGAUGUUAUUAUCGUCGUGUGAUUGAACUUUAAAUUGCAAAUACCCAAUGCAACGAUACAUAAAUCGCAACAAACGCGUUAUACAAUGCGCAGUAUAGGAACGGAUAAUGGAUAGAUAUACCUACAUGCUAUUGCGAUUCAAUAACGACAUAAAAUACUGCAUUAGGUUAUCCUGCAGUGUCGUGGGACGCGGAUAAAAAUACUGAAUGGCUAUAAAGUAUAGUUGAGUUUAUAAUAAAUGCACAUGACCCUACUGCAGGGCCUGAUUUACGUUUUUUAGGUUUAGGUAGCAUAUUACAUACACAUAACUCGAUAUAGGGAGGGGGGUGGUAGCUAUUAAAAAUAAAAAAACAUCGACUCUUGAUGAUAGAUUUAAUAGUAUUAUAUUCGAUCCGGGCACAAUAUGUAAUAUAUAAUAAUAUGUACAUUCGUUUUGCGUGAGAGAGAAGAAUUAGUGGUAAAAAACCGACGACAUAGGCGAUUAGACCUUUUGUCUAUGUACAUCUUAUGGAUAUUAUAUUACACCAUCGACGCUCAUCGAGUGGACGGGCAAGACGGCACUUGACCCUUUUCCUGGAAAAAGUAAUUUUUUUAAUCGUUUUUUAAAAAUAUCAUUUCGUGUGUAUUAUAUUAUAUAGUACUACCAUUUAAAUUAAAAAAAAAAAACUAUACUAAUAACUGUAAAUGAAAUGUGUUAUACCAUUGUUUAGAACGCUUUUCUUUGAAUUUAUCUGAUGGUUUCUAGAAUUUAUUUUUUGAUUAUCCUAAAAAACGGGAGAACGCAUGAGUAUUCAAAUUCAUCAAAGUUUAAACUUCAGAGAUUCAGAACAAAUAUUUUUGGAAUUAAGUUUACUUUCUUUUUUAAUGAUUCUAAAAUAAAUAAUUGUUGAUAUUUUAUAC